AUGGGUCUGAAUGGGUCUGGUGGGUCUGGUCACUCAGGCAGAGAGACAAAGGGGCAAGGAGAAUCACGCACAGAUUUUAUGCUUCAGUCUGUACCUGUUCCUUCCACUCACAUUUCACUGAGCAAGGCAAGUUACUUGCUUGAUCCAAGUUCAGGUGGGCAGAGAAGUGCAAUCCACCAUGGGUCUGGGAGGAGAAAAGGAAAUUUUGGUGCACGGUGCAAGCGACAAUGGCAUAUUCAAUAUCCCGGCUGCGCACCUUGGAGGCAGCUCAAACUUAGCAUAUCCAAAAGAGAACCUCCUCUUCCUCAAACCUACCUGCUCCAAGUCUUUCCUGUGCCUACGAAUGGCACCCACAUCUACGCGGUCAAUCAGCCUGAGCCUCUGAGGGUCAUUCUUGACUCUUCCCUUUUCCCACCACCCACAUGGAAGCCAUCACCAAGUUCCAUCCAUUCAACCACCAUGGUGUGUCUGCCUCUCAUCUGCUUCUUUCUACCUGUACCGCCUGCAGCCUGGUCCCGGCCACCGCUCUCCCCUGGGACGCCCACAGUGGCUCCUGACAGGUCCCCCUGCUCCUUCUUGCCCCUCCACACUCCAUUACCCACGGCAGCCAGUGUGACCUUUAAAAACAUAUGUGACAGUCACUUUCCUGCUCAAAACCUUCCAGGGGCUCCCGUUGCUCCCAGAAGAAACUGCAGAGUCCUCGCCAUGGCCGCGGGGUCGUGUGUGAGCCAACAGCCGUCUCCAUCCACGUCUCCAGCCUCCUCUUGUCCCACUGUCCCUCGGGCACCCCAGCUCGGCCCCCCGGCACUCUGGGACACCCCUAGAUGGUGCUGGGAGGUCUUCGUGUUCACGGUCACGAUGCCUGGGACAACCAUCUCAUCCACAGACCUCAGCCUGAAGUCAAAGCCUUCCCAGACCCCUGGGCGAAAGGACACUGGCCCAGGGACCCUGCACCCCCUCAUCCUGCUUUAUCCCCAUCACAGUGUCUGCCACUUUCAGAAAUUAUUCAUUCACUGGAGUGAGUUCUGA
rnacentral:lncRNA from 1 species